rnacentral:rRNA from 1 species
AAACUAACAAGGAUUCCCCUAGUAACGGCGAGCGAAGCGGGAAGAGCUCAAAUUUGAAAGCUGGCGUUUUCGGCGUCCGCGUUGUAAUCUCGAGACGUGUUUUCCGUGCGGCUCUAUGGACAAGUCCCUUGGAACAGGGCAUCGUAGAGGGUGAAAAUCCCGUACUUGCCAUGGAAGUACCGUGCUUUGUGAUACACGUUCCAAGAGUCGAGUAGUUUGGGAUUGCUGCUCAAAGUGGGUGGUAGACUCCAUCUAAAGCUAAAUAUCGGGGAGAGACCGAUAGCGAACAAGUACCGUGAGGGAAAGAUGAAAAGCACUUUGGAAAGAGAGUUAAAAGUACGUGAAAUUGUCGAAAGGGAAGCACUUGAAGUCAGCCAUGCUGCUUGAGACUCAGCCUGGCUUUUGCUUGGUGUAUUUCUCGGUAGCAAGCCAGCAUUGGUUUGUGUCGUCGGAGAAGCGUAUGGGGAAUGUGGCAUCCUCGGAUGUGUUAUAGCCCUGUGCAGGAUACGACGACGUAGACCAAGGAACGCAGUGUGCCCUCUGGGCGGGUCUUCGGACACCUUCACACUUAGGAUGCUGGCGUAAUGGCUUUAAGUGGC